AAACAUGUCUUUUUGGAAAAAAUUUAAAGUCAGAUCUGCUCACUGAAUAAUUUUAAAGAGCCGCAGUAUACUGACUGUGCAAAGGUAGCAUAAUCAAUAGUUUUUUAAUUGAAAACUGGAAUGAAAGAUUAGACGAAAAAUUAAUUUUCUUUAUUUUAAUAAAUUUAAUUUUAAAUUUAAGUGAAAAUGCUUAAAUAUAAUUAAAAGACGAGAAGACCCUAUAGAUUUUUAUUAUUGGAAUAAAUUUAUAAAUGUGAUUUAAUAAAAUAAUUUAAUUGGGGUGAUUUUAUAAUAUAAAUAAUUUAAUUUGUUGAAACCAUAAAUGAUUGAAUUUUUGAUCUAAAAUUUUUAAAGAAAAGAUUAAAUUACCUUAGGGAUAACAGCGUAAUUUUAUUUAAGAGUUCGUAUCUAUAAUAAAGUUUGCGACCUCGAUGUUGAAUUAAGAUAAUAUAUUGGAGUAGAAAUUAAUAUAAUUAGUCUGUUCGACUAUUAAAUUCUUACGUGAUCUG
rnacentral:rRNA from 1 species